UGUCAGACAACAGACAGAUUCUGGAAGGGAAAAGAUGUAGCAGCGAGUCUGGCUAGUGUAUUAGUAUGAGAAUGACUUUAUUCUAUUAUGCAUGGUACCAUAUGUAAGCAGCUAUAUGAUAUAUAAAAUGUAAAAACGAAGUGUUGCAUUGUUAUAACUACAGCGAAGACAACCGACAGCUAGAGACACAUUCUAGACGAUCACAAGGCUACUAAGAUAUGUAGUAAGAAAAGAUGCAUGGGUCGUACGUAGGAUGUGGCGACCGGUUAGGGUCACCCGCUCUCCACCUCUGACAGAAGACCCAUGGUGCUACAUAUUUGAUUUGGUGCCGUAACGCAGUUUCGACAUUUAGGGUAAGCAGCAAAUCUGGGAGAAGAAUACAUAUUUGAUUUGGUGCACGUGACUACGAGAUCGAGUACCCUGGAAGAAGAAUACAUAUCCUAUUUGGUGCUGUACCCCAGUUUCGACCUUUAGGGUAAGCAGCAACUUUGGAAGUAGAAAACCCGAACAAACAGAAAAAAUCUGGUGGAAAAAAAAGAAAUCUGGGGGAGAAAAAUUUUGGUGGAGAAACAAAAAGAAAUCUGGUGGAAAAAAUCUGGUGGAAAUAUUCGAAAAAUUGGGACUUCGAAUUUUGUCUAAUGGUUUGGAUUGUUCGUACUUGGUUUUAGUUUAUUAUUAUCUGUAUAUAAUUUUAUGUAUUUAAUUUUUACUUUAGAAGCGUAAUAUAAACGUUAAAUAUAUAUUUGCUAAGUGCUAUUUUGUGUCAUUUAUUAAAUUUUGCUUUAAAUUGUUCAUGCGAGGUGGUUAAGAAUGUGUAAUUUGACAUGUCACAUUGUACUAGUCUGGUUAUUCAAAACAAUAGGUAUAAACACUAUGUUAAAGUUGACGUUGGUGAAAGUCACGUGACUUCAGUGGUGAGUCGAAUGAAACUAUAUGUGUAAUUAAAAGCUAGGUAUAUUCUGGUUGUCGUGUUUAUAAAAUAUAGACUUGUGUUCCGAGGGAGUGAAGUGCACGUCACUUGCUUUGAACAUAAUUCUAUUCUAAAUAAAUUAUAGUCUGGUGUUGUCAUAAAUUUGAGCUCACUUGUGUCAGUGUCAGUCUGAUAGGAAAUGUUUAUGUAAUAGUGGUUAAUAUGUUUAUAAAAAACGAAAUACAAAAUUGUAAAUGAUUAGGUCAAAAAGGUCGCAUUACUGACGGGGGAAUAUAAAAUAAUAAUGUAAUUGUUUUGGCGGAAUUCUAAAACAGAAAACGCAAUUAUAAAAUUGUUUAUUACUGAUCGAGUUAUGGUCAAGAGGUCAAAGUUAGUUUGAAGAUUUAUAAUUAAAGAAACCCAUCGAAGUUUAUUAAUAACUAAAUGAAGUUUAAUUUUAAUUUAAAAGUAAGAGUUACUAAUAAUAAUAUUAGACUAAUAUCAAAAUAAAGUUUUAAAGAUUUAGUAAUAGUUAGUUCUUGGUCUGAUGACAAGGACAUGUUUGAUUGACGGAUAAAAUUUGUAUUUUGUCUCAAACCAAUGAUACUUAGGAAAAAAAGAAGAAAGUUUCAAUUUGACACUAUGGUAGCUGAAACAGACCACUAGAAAUCCAAGAAGAAGAAAUGGUUUACCAGUUUACCAAAUCGAGAUAUCCUGAGACAGAAUUUAAAGUGAAACCUGAACUUUAUAAAUUAGAAGUGAUGUGUUAUAGUGUUUUGAAUUUAGGGCACAUGAAGAUUUAAAAAAACAAAACAAUUUGUGUUUUCUGUGUUUAGGGUUAAAUAAUUUUCAUAGGACUUUGAAGUACAGUGAUAAACUUUUUGGAGAGCUUACUUUUGAAUUUUGAUUAUUUGUGUUUUUCUUUCAUAGCUUUGUUUUAUGGUAUAGUAAUCAUUUAUAUUUGCAUGUUGCGUGAAUUAGUUAGAAAAUCUAUAUUUUAUAUAUAUUCUUAAAGGUGGAAGAAUAUCGUCGCUGUGACAUUGUUUUUAAAUUCGUAGACAAGGAAUAGAGAUAUAAGAUGAUUUAACAAUAUUUGUAUCUUUACAAAUUAUUCUCUAUUGUCAGUAUAUUAGCUAUGGUAUGAGUUUAUUUAAAACGCAAAUUAAUUGUUUAUGAAAUAGUGUGAGAAUAACAGGAAAGAGGGUCUAAGUUCAAGGAUAGAUUGUGUCAAAAAACGUGUGACUGGAAAUUUACCUAUUGCGUCAUUUGGUUUAGUUUGACCAAUCUCUGUAAUUAUUUACAUCAUAUUUGACCAAUUAGAUAAUAGAACGUCUAAAGCCCAAAGCUACAAAACUAUUAUAUUGGGGGGCGUUUGUCAGACAAAAGGCAGAUUCUGGAAGGGAAACGAUGUAGCAGUUUCUAUCAGCAGACUCGACCAGCGAGUCUGGCUAGUGUAUGUGAAUGACUUUAUUCUAUUAUGCAUUGUACCAUAUGUAAGCAGCUAUAUGUAAAAUGUAAAAACGAA